GACGAACGCUGGCGGCGUGCUUAACACAUGCAAGUCGAGCGGUAAGGCCCUUUCGGGGGUACACGAGCGGCGAACGGGUAAGUAACACGUGGGUGACCUGCCCUCAGCUCUGGGAUAAGCCUGGGAAACCGGGUCUAAUACUGGAUAUGACUCCAUGACGCAUGUUGUGGGGUGGAAAGCCUUGUGCGGCUGAGGAUGGGCCCGCGGCCUAUCAGCUUGUUGGUGGGGUGAUGGCCACCAAGGCGACGACGGGUAGCCGGCCUGAGAGGGCGACCGGCCACACUGGGGACUGAGACACGGCCCAGACUCCUACGGGAGGCAGCAGUGGGGAAUCUUGCGCAAUGGGCGAAAGCCUGACGCAGCGACGCCGCGUGAGGGAUGACGGCC
rnacentral:rRNA from 1 species